UACGGAGGAUGCGAGCGUUAUCCGGAUUUACUGGGUGUAAAGGGAGCGCAGGCGGCACGGCAAGCCUGAUGUGAAAGCCCGCGGCCCAACCGCGGGACUGCAUUGGGAACUACCGGGCUGGAGUGCCGGAGAGGUAGGCGGAAUUCCUAGUGUAGCGGUGAAAUGCGUAGAUAUUAGGAGGAACACCAGUGGCGAAGGCGGCCUACUGGACGGUGACUGACGCUGAGGCUCGAAAGCGUGGGGAGCAAACAGG
rnacentral:rRNA from 1 species